rnacentral:rRNA from 1 species
GAUGAACGCUGGCGGCGUGCUUAACACAUGCAAGUCGAACGGUGAAGCCAAGCUUGCUUGGUGGAUCAGUGGCGAACGGGUGAGCAACACGUGAGCAACCUGCCCUGGACUCUGGGAUAAGCGCUGGAAACGGCGUCUAAUACUGGAUAUGAGACGUGAUCGCAUGGUCGUGUUUGGAAAGAUUUUUCGGUCUGGGAUGGGCUCGCGGCCUAUCAGCUUGUUGGUGAGGUAAUGGCUCACCAAGGCGUCGACGGGUAGCCGGCCUGAGAGGGUGACCGGCCACACUGGGACUGAGACACGGCCCAGACUCCUACGGGAGGCAGCAGUGGGGAAUAUUGCACAAUGGGCGAAAGCCUGAUGCAGCAACGCCGCGUGAGGGAUGACGGCCUUCGGGUUGUAAACCUCUUUUAGCAGGGAAGAAGCGAAAGUGACGGUACCUGCAGAAAAAGCGCCGGCUAACUACGUGCCAGCAGCCGCCGUAAGAC